rnacentral:rRNA from 1 species
GCAUAUCCAUAAGCGGAGGAAAAGAAACCAACAGGGAUUGCCCUAGUAACGGCGAGUGAAGCGGCAACAGCUCAAAUUUGAAAUCUGGCUCUCGGGCCCGAGUUGUAAUUUGUAGAGGAUGCUUUUGAUGCGGUGCCUUCCGAGUUCCCUGGAACGGGACGCCAUAGAGGGUGAGAGCCCCGUCUGGUUGGAUACCAAAUCUCUGUAAAGCUCCUUCGACGAGUCGAGUAGUUUGGGAAUGCUGCUCUAAAUGGGAGGUAUAUGUCUUCUAAAGCUAAAUACUGGCCAGAGACCGAUAGCGCACAAGUAGAGUGAUCGAAAGAUGAAAAGCACUUUGAAAAGAGAGUUAAAAAGUACGUGAAAUUGUUGAAAGGGAAGCGUUUAUGACCAGACUUGGGCUUGGAUAAUCAUCUGGGGUUCUCCCCAGUGCACUUUUCCAGUCCAGGCCAGCAUCAGUUUUCGCCGGGGGAUAAAGGCUUCGGGAAUGUGGCUCCCUCCGGGGAGUGUUAUAGCCCGUUGCGUAAUACCCUGGCGGGGACUGAGGUUCGCGCAUCUGCAAGGAUGCGGCGUAA